rnacentral:rRNA from 1 species
CAAGGAAUUUUCGGCAAUGGGCGCAAGCCUGACCGAGCAACGCCGCGUGGAGGAUGACGGCUUUCGGGUUGUAAACUCCUUUUCGGUGGGACGAAUUUUGACGGUACCACCUGAAUCAGGCCCGGCUAACUACGUGCCAGCAGCCGCGGUAAUACGUAGGGGUCGAGCGUUGUCCGGAUUUAUUGGGCGUAAAGGGUGGGCAGGUGGUCGGUGAUGUGCCGUGUGAAAGCGCCGUAGUUAUGACGGCGAGGUCGCGGUAGACACAUCGUCUUGAGGCAGUGAGGGGGCAGUGGAAUUCCCGGUGUAGUGGUGAAAUGCGUAGAUAUCGGGAGGAACACCAGUGGCGCAAGCGGCUGCCUGGCACUGACCUGACACUGAGCCACGACGGCGUGGGGAGCAAACGGGAUUAGAUACCCCGGUAGUCCACGCAGUAAACGAUGCAUACCCGGUGUGUGGUGACGGUUUAACCCGUCGCUGCGUGCCUCAGCUUACG